rnacentral:rRNA from 1 species
UACGUAGGGUGCGAGCGUUGUCCGGAAUUAUUGGGCGUAAGGGGCUCGUAGGCGGUUUGUCGCGUCGGGAGUAAAAACCUUGGGCUUAACUCAGGGCUUGCUUUCGAUACGGGCAGACUAGAGGUAUGCAGGGGAGAACGGAAUUCCUGGUGUAGCGGUGAAAUGCGCAGAUAUCAGGAGGAACACCGGUGGCGAAGGCGGUUCUCUGGGCAUGAUCUGACGCUGAGGAGCGAAAGUGUGGGGAGCGAACAGG